rnacentral:lncRNA from 1 species
AAGUUCAAGCAUGUGGGGCCAUCUUUGCCCCACUCAGUGCCCUUUCUGUAUACUCAGUGCAAACAAGAGUUUUCGUAAGCAGACCGCCUCCAGAGUUUGAAAACCAUUCAUCGUCAGAUCUUAGGCCAGACUUCCAAUUUAGGGCACUUUGCCCUCAGCCUCCGUGUGGUUUCUUUUUUUUUACAGGCCUCAACUGUGAGAAGAUCCGUUCUCACCACCCCUCAGUCCCUCUGCGCUUUGCUCUUGUCCUACCAGCACCCUUCCCCUGCCAAAGAUGCCCCUCCCCACUUCCUUACUCUCCCCCAGCCUCUGUGCCGGCCCCAGAACAUGAGUACAUGUGUGAGUGAGCACAUGCGUGUGUGCCUGAGUGCACAUGCAUAUGUGUGUGUGUAUGUAUGUGUGUGUGUGUGUGUGUGUGUGUAGGUAUGUGUGUGUGUGUGUGUAUGUAUGUGUGUGUGAAGCUGCCCCUGAGGUAGAAUCUGGUAGAUGGGGCAAGAAUUCAUUUAUUCAACUCAAUUGAUUAGGCACUUACUAUGUGGGGAGAUACAACAGUAAAAAGACAAAAAUCUGGCCGGGUGCAGUGGCUCACACCUGUAAUCCCAGCACUCUGGGAGGCCAAGGUGGGUGGAUCAUGAGGUCCGGAGUUUGAGACCAGCCUGGCCAACAUGGUGAAACCCCAUCUCUACUAAAAAUAAAAAAUUAGCCGGGCUUGGUGGCGUACUCCUGUAAUCCCAGCUACUCAGGAGGCUCAGGCAGGCAGGAGAAUCGCUUGAACCCGGGAGGCGGAGGUUGCAGUGAGUCGAGAUCAUGCUACUGCACUCCAGCUGGGGUGAUAGACAGAGACUCUGUCUCAAAAAAAAAAAAAAAAAAAAAGACAAAAGGCCCUGCCCUCCUAGUGGGUGAUGGCCCCUAGGAGCUGUGCGUUGCUAAGCAGGCCAGGGAGACAACUCUAGGAUACCAGCAAGGGCCGCCUCCACAAAACCAGAGAGAGGCCAGCUUGUAUGCCUCUGGGCGGUGCUGUCACCCCACUCCCAUCCCAUCCCAGUGAGGUGCUCUCCUUCCCCUCGGCGCUCCUCUGUGGAAGCAUUCUUUCUCCCAUAGGUAUUUGCAGUCUGUGAGGACCAAAGCCUGUGGCAAUCUCAACAUCACCUGUAGAAAGUUUUUCUUUUAGGGGGAGGUUGUAGCGGGAGGUUGUGGGGGGACAGAGUACAUUUUCCAGGCCGUCACAGAUCCUGAACUUAGGACUGGCCUCUUUCCUUCAGUAGCCACGUUGGCUCUGUGUCCAGGAGAACAGUCACUGUAGAUCCACGGAAUGGCUGUCGUGUGUCUCUGUUCACUACCGUGGAACGCAGGGGGUCCCAGGAAGGUGAGAAAGCCAGGGCUGGGUGUUGGGCUGAGCAUGGGGGAAGGAAGAGAGCUGGAAAUUACUGUCGAUCAGGUAGGGCAGUGAAGGAGGCUGGCAAAGUUGGUUAAGGUAGGAGGAUGCAGGUACUCAAAGGUCACAGAAUCACCGGAAAAUGAUAUUCAUUGAGUUCACUUGUCACUGUGUUUGCUCAUGGGAGGUAGUAGAGAGAGCACACUGAGAUGGCUUCCCAUUCAAAUCCUCCUCCUGUUCAUCUCCAGCUGCGUGUCUCCUGAUGAAUUAUUUAACCUCUCCGGGCCUCCUUUUGCUCAUUUGGAAAAUACUUUUAAUUGAUACUUAUUUUAGAAGGAGGUUGUAGAGAUAAUGAAUAGGAAGGGCAGGGCACAUUGAACAAGUUUCAUAAAUAAUAUGCACCAUAAUCAUGGCACUUAAUUCUUAUAGCAAGUCUUAAAGGUUUAUCUCCUAGGAGGAAUUUUAGAGAUCUUCCAGUUCAGCGGUUUUCGAACUUUGGCCUGCAUCAGAACCUCCUAGAUAGCACGUGUGUUAAAACACAGAUUUCUGGGAUCCACUCCCAGAGGCACUGGUUCAGUAGGUCUGGGUUGGGACCAGAGAAUGUGCAUUUCUAACUAGUUCCAGGGCGAUGCUGAGGUCGCUGGUCUGGGGACCACACUUUGAGAACCACUGUGCUAGCCUAAAUUCCUCAUUUUGCAGAGGACGGUCCUGAGGUUCAAUCCUGUUAGCUCCUUCCCCAUGGUCAAUAGAGUCAGCCUCCCAGAUCCAGGUCCAGGCCAAGGUCAGGAGAUCCAAGCUGGGAGACAGGAAAACAAAGUACAGCAUUCAGGAAAUGUGAGGAUGCAAAAAGCCACACUCCAGGCAAUGAGCCCCAGGGACGGACCCAAGGUUCCAGCGAGAGGAAUGAUCUUAGCAGACAGCAAACCAUUGCUGUGCUCCGGAAGAGAACUGGCCUCAGUGAGGUCCUGAGCCACAACAGUCCACGUGUCUGGCCUCAGGGAGCAUGUGUGUGUCAGGGAUGGGGGGAUAAGGAUUGUGUGGGUGACACAGGAGGGUGAGAACCGAGUGUAAGUGCAUCUGUGUGUGUGAGUGCUUCUGUGUGUCAGUGUUUUUGGGUGAGGGUGUGUAUUAGUACGUGUGUGAAUAUGUGAGCUUGUGUGAGUGUGUAUGUCAGUCUGCUUGGGUAUCAUCACGAUGCGUCACACACAGCGUGGCUUAAACCACAGGAAUUUAUUAGUUUACAGUCUGGAGGCUGGAAGGCCAAGAUCAUGGUAUUGAAAUGAUAAGAAAUCUGACUUUCUUCUAGCCUCAUCCUGGGUUUGUGAGUUUAUGAAGAAGCUGAAGAGCUCCAUCACUUCCCAGCUAAACAUAGCUCUUCAGAUCUCAGGGUUUAAGAUGAUUUCCUCCUAAGUCAACGCAGCAUUUUGCCUCCAUUCAAGCAACCCCUUGCUCCAAGCAUCGUGAUGUGACAGUGCAGCGUUCACCGGCCCACCCCAGCUGAUCUGCCCUAUGGCACAAGAAUAACAAUUGGAAAAACUUGGCUUCCCUCCGAGAGCAAUGCCAGCUUUGCCCAGGCCAGCCAUCUCUGGCAUAACUCUGUUCAUUUGAGCUUUCCUCAUGUGUGAUCAUCCUUGUAUGACCCCGAGGCCAGAAUCCCCACUUAUUAAAGCUAGGAAAGACAUUUUUGAGGCUCUAGUUAGUUUGUUCUUUCAUAGUGAAAGAACCAUUUGUGGGCUCAAAGGGGGAUGUGGCAAUAGGUUAUUUCGGGCUUUCGAAAGGCCUG